rnacentral:rRNA from 1 species
GGCCCCGCCUGCCCAGUGACUAUAUGUUCAACGGCCGCGGUAUUCUGACCGUGCAAAGGUAGCGCAAUAACUUGUCCUUUAAAUGGGGACUAGUAUGAAUGGCAUCACGAGGGCUUAUCUGUCUCCUUUUUUAAGUCAAUGAAAUUGAUCUUCCCGUGCAAAAGCGGGAAUACUCACAUAAGACGAGAAGACCCUGUGGAGCUUUAGACACCAAGACAGAUUACGUUAAAAAUGCCUCAACUUAAAGGCCUGAACUAAACAAUACCUGCUCUGAUGUCUUUGGUUGGGGCGACCGCGGAGAAUAAAGAAUCCUCCCCUCCGCGUGGAAUGGGAGCAUCAGCUUUAACUUAAAGCUCCCACAACCGAGAGCCACAGCUCUAACUACCAGAACUUUCUGACCAUCAUUGAUCCGGUAAUUAACCGAUCAACGAACCGAGUUACCCCAGGGAUAACAGCGCAAUCCCCUUUUAGAGUCCAUAUCGACAAGGGGGUUUACGACCUCGAUGUUGGAUCAGGACAUCCUAAUGGUGCAACCGCUAUUAAGGGU